GGGGACGUAGCUCAGACUGGGACAGUAAAGGAAGCAAUUUGUUUCCUGUCUGCAGGAAAGAGCACUAGACUGAAGAUCUAGGUGUCCCGGGUUCAAAACAACGAUUUCGCUCGUUGAUGACGAAGUAUGUUUCGCUUCGUACAAAAACCAAAGGUUUUUGAUGUUCAGAAAUUUCAUUUCUGUAACGCUCAAGCAUACGAGAAUCGAAAUCACACCUGACGCUUUUUGCGUCGCGUUCAAAGGACGCAUAACGGUGUCGACGGAAAUGACCGUCGUUGAUGAAAGUCCCGGCGUCCCCA
rnacentral:tRNA from 1 species